ACCUCAGUCCAGUGUGUUUAUCAGGUCUAGUCUGUCUAAUAAACCUCACUAAUGUGUUUAUCAGGUCUAGUCUGUCUAAUAAACCUCAGUCCAGUGUGUUUAUCAGGUCUAGUCUGUCUAAUUAACCUCAGUCCAGUGUGUUUAUCAGGUCUAGUCUGUCUAAUUAACCUCACUAAUGUGUUUAUCAGGUCUAGUCUGUCUAAUAAACCUCAGUCCAGUGUGUUUAUCAGGUCUAGUCUGUCUAAUUAACCUCACUAAUGUGUUUAUCAGGUCUAGUCUGUCUAAUAAACCUCAGUCCAGUGUGUUUAUCAGGUCUAGUCUGUCUAAUUAACCUCAGUCCAGUGUGUUUAUCAGGUCUAGUCUGUCUAAUAAACCUCAGUCCAGUGUGUUUAUCAGGUCUAGUCUGUCUAAUAAACCUCAGUCCAGUGUGUUUAUCAGGUCUAGUCUGUCUAAUUAACCUCACUAAUGUGUUUAUCAGGUCUAGUCUGUCUAAUUAACCUCAGUCCAGUGUGUUUAUCAGGUCUAGUCUGUCUAAUUAACCUCAGUCCAGUGUGUUUAUCAGGUCUAGUCUGUCUAAUAAACCUCAGUCCAGUGUGUUUAUCAGGUCUAGUCUGUCUAAUUAACCUCACUAAUGUGUUUAUCAGGUCUAGUCUGUCUAAUUAACCUCAGUCCAGUGUGUUUAUCAGGUCUAGUCUGUCUAAUUAACCUCAGUCCAGUGUGUUUAUCAGGUCUAGUCUGUCUAAUAAACCUCACUAAUGUGUUUAUCAGGUCUAGUCUGUCUAAUAAACCUCAGUCCAGUGUGUUUAUCAGGUCUAGUCUGUCUAAUUAACCUCAGUCCAGUGUGUUUAUCAGGUCUAGUCUGUCUAAUAAACCUCAGUCCAGUGUGUUUAUCAGGUCUAGUCUGUCUAAUUAACCUCAGUCCAGUGUGUUUAUCAGGUCUAGUCUGUCUAAUUAACCUCAGUCCAGUGUGUUUAUCAGGUCUAGUCUGUCUAAUUAACCUCACUAAUGUGUUUAUCAGGUCUAGUCUGUCUAAUUAACCUCACUAAUGUGUUUAUCAGGUCUAGUCUGUCUAAUUAACCUCAGUCCAGUGUGUUUAUCAGGUCUAGUCUGUUUAAUUAACCUCAGUCCAGUGUGUUUAUCUGGUCUAGUCUGUCUAAUUAACCUCACUAAUGUGUUUAUCAGGUCUAGUCUGUCUAAUAAACCUCACUAAUGUGUUUAUCAGGUCUAGUCUGUCUAAUAAACCUCAGUCCAGUGUGUUUAUCAGGUCUAGUCUGUCUAAUUAACCUCAGACCAGUGUGUUUAUCAGGUCUAGUCUGUCUAAUUAACCUCAGUCCAGUGUGUUUAUCAGGUCUAGUCUGUCUAAUUAACCUCAGUCCAGUGUGUUUAUCAGGUCUAGUCUGUCUAAUUAACCUCACUAAUGUGUUUAUCAGGUCUAGUCUGUCUAAUAAACCUCAGUCCAGUGUGUUUAUCAGGUCUAGUCUGUCUAAUUAACCUCACUAAUGUGUUUAUCAGGUCUAGUCUGUCUAAUUAACCUCACUAAUGUGUUUAUCAGGUCUAGUCUGUCUAAUAAACCUCAGACCAGUGUGUUUAUCAGGUCUAGUCUGUCUAAUUAACCUCAGUCCAGUGUGUUUAUCAGGUCUAGUCUGUCUAAUUAACCUCACUAAUGUGUUUAUCAGGUCUAGUCUGUCUAAUAAACCUCAGUCCAGUGUGUUUAUCAGGUCUAGUCUGUCUAAUUAACCUCAGUCCAGUGUGUUUAUCAGGUCUAGUCUGUCUAAUAAACCUCAGUCCAGUGUGUUUAUCAGGUCUAGUCUGUCUAAUUAACCUCAGUCCAGUGUGUUUAUCAGGUCUAGUCUGUCUAAUAAACCUCACUAGUGUGUUUAUCAGGUCUAGUCUGUCUAAUAAACCUCAGUCCAGUGUGUUUAUCAGGUCUAGUCUGUUUAAUUAACCUCAGUCCAGUGUGUUUAUCAGGUCUAGUCUGUCUAAUUAACCUCAGUCCAGUGUGUUUAUCAGGUCUAGUCUGUCUAAUAAACCUCAGUCCAGUGUGUUUAUCAGGUCUAGUCUGUCUAAUAAACCUCACUAAUGUGUUUAUUAGGUCUAGUCUGUCUAAUAAACCUCAGUCCAGUGUGUUUAUCUGGUCUAGUCUGUCUAAUUAACCUCAGUCCAGUGUGUUUAGUCUAGUCUGUCUAAUUAACCUCACUAAUGUGUUUAUCAGGUCUAGUCUGUCUAAUUAACCUCAGUCCAGUGUGUUUAUCAGGUCUAGUCUGUCUAAUUAACCUCA